AGCGAACGCUGGCGGCAGGCCUAAUACAUGCAAGUCGAGCGGCCGUAGCAAUACGGCAGCGGCAGACGGGAGAGUAACACGUGGGAACGUGCCUAUCAGUUCGGAACAACCCAGGGAAACUUGGGCUAAUACCGGAUACGCCCUUACGGGGAAAGAUUUAUCGCUGAUAGAGCGGCCCGCGUCUGAUUAGCUAGUUGGUGAGGUAACGGCUCACCAAGGCUACGAUCAGUAGCUGGUCUGAGAGGAUGAUCAGCCUCACUGGGACUGAGACACGGCCCAGACUCCUACGGGAGGCAGCAGUAGGGAAUAUUGGACAAUGGGCGCAAGCCUGAUCCAGCCAUGCCGCGUGAGUGAUGAAGGCCUUUAGGGUUGUAAAGCUCUUUCGGCGGGGAAGAUAAUGACGGUACCCGCAGAAGAAGCCCCGGCUAACUUCGUGCCAGCCGCCGCCGUAAG
rnacentral:rRNA from 1 species